UUGCACAGCCAACUGCUGCAGAUUUUAAUUAUGUAGAGGAAAAUCCGCUCUAACACUUGCUGCGAUGCAAGUAGUGUUCAUGCUAGGCCCAAUAAGCCUAGGCAGUUAUUUUGUAAAUAAUUGACGACCAGUGCAACAGAGACGAGCUUAUUUAGUUAAGGUGCAACGAUGUAAACUCCAUGAGUUAGAAACCCAAAUUUCGGUAGGGGAACCUAGUUAAGAUAAAUGAAUUGAGACUGGGAAGUUUUUUAAACUUAGAUAAAUAGUUGGCACUGUAUUUUUUACAGCACAAAAAGCGGUUUAUCGUG
rnacentral:RNase_P_RNA from 14 species